rnacentral:RNase_P_RNA from 1 species
UGGGCCGGCCAGACGGUCACGUGCCGCAUCAUGCGGUCCGAGGAACGUCCGGGCUCCACAGAGCAGGACGGUGGGUAACGCCCACCCGGGGUAACCCGCGAGACAGUGCCACAGAAAGCAAACCGCCCGCAAGGGUAAGGGUGAAAGGGUGGGGUAAGAGCCCACCGGGGGAGCGGUGACGUUCCCCGCACGGUAAACCUCGUCCGGAGCAAGGCCAACAGGAAACGUCGACGCGGCUCGCCGAGUUUCCGGGUGUGCUGCUAGAGCGCCGCGGUAACGCGGCGCCGAGAUAGAUGGCCGUCGGGGAGUUCGCUCCUCACAGAACCCGGCGUACCGGCCGACCCACUCA